rnacentral:rRNA from 1 species
UACGUAGGGUGCAAGCGUUAAUCGGAAUUACUGGGCGUAAAGCGUGCGCAGGCGGUUAUGUAAGACAGAUGUGAAAUCCCCGGGCUCAACCUGGGAACUGCAUUUGUGACUGCAUAGCUAGAGUACGGUAGAGGGGGAUGGAAUUCCGCGUGUAGCAGUGAAAUGCGUAGAUAUCAGGAGGAAUACCGAUGGCGAAGGCAGGUCUCUGGGCUGACACUGACGCUCAUGCACGAAAGCGUGGGGAGCAAACAGG